UAAGGAAUAUUGGACAAUGGUCGCAAGACUGAUCCAGCCAUGCCGCGUGCAGGAUGACGGCCCUAUGGGUUGUAAACUGCUUUUGUACGGGAAAAAACCCCUUUACGUGUAAAGGGCUGAUGGUACCGUAAGAAUAAGGAUCGGCUAACUCCGUGCCAGCAGCCGCGGUAAUACGGAGGAUCCAAGCGUUAUCCGGAUUCAUUGGGUUUAAAGGGUGCGUAGGCGGAAGGGUAAGUCAGUGGUGAAAGCCUGCAGCUUAACUGCAGAACUGCCAUUGAUACUGCUCAUCUUGAGUACAUUUGAUGUGGGCGGAAUGUGUCAUGUAGCGGUGAAAUGCUUAGAUAUGACACAGAACACCGAUUGCGAAGGCAGCUCACAAAACUGUAACUGACGCUGAGGCACGAAAGCGUGGGGAUCGAACAG
rnacentral:rRNA from 1 species